UACAGAGGGUGCAAGCGUUAAUCGGAAUUACUGGGCGUAAAGCGUGCGUAGACGGUUACAUAAGUCGGGUGUGAAAGCCCCGGGCUCAACCUGGGAAUUGCAUUCGAGACUGCGUAGCUAGGGUGCGGAAGAGGGAAGCGGAAUUUCCGGUGUAGCGGUGAAAUGCGUAGAUAUCGGAAGGAACACCAGUGGCGAAAGCGGACUUCUGGGGUUGUUACUGACGCUGAGGUACGAAAGCGUGGGGAGCAAACAGG
rnacentral:rRNA from 1 species